GAUGAACGCUGGCGGCGUGCCUAACACAUGCAAGUCGAACGGACAGACGCGGCGUUUGCUCCUCUGACGUGUGGCGCGCGCGUGAGUGAAACAUGUGGAUAACCUCCCUAUAAGACGGGUAUCACUUGGAGAAAGCGGCGAUAAUACCGGAGAAGAUCUUGAACCACAGGGUGCAAUAGUGAAUUACGGCUUUGGGGUCACUUAUAGAUGGAUCCGCGCCGCAUUAGCUAGUUGGUAGGGUAACGGCCUACCAAGGCAACGAUGCGUAGCCGAGCUGAGAGGCUGAUCGGCCACACUGGAACUGAGACACGGACCAGACUCCUACGGGAGGCAGCAGUAGGGAAUGUUCGGCAAUGGGCGAAAGCCUGACGCAGCAAGGCCGCGUGUGUGACGACGGCCUUCGGAUCGUAAAGACCUGUUAUGAGGGAAGAACAACUGUGUCCUUAGACGUGCCGGUAUUGACGGUACCGGAUAAAGAAGCACCGGCUAACUACGUG
rnacentral:rRNA from 1 species